rnacentral:rRNA from 1 species
AAUCUCAGUUCAGAUUGCAGGCUGCAACUCGCCUGCAUGAAGUCGGAAUUGCUAGUAAUCGUAGGUCAGCAUACUACGGUGAAUACGUUCCCGGGCCUUGUACACACCGCCCGUCAAACCAUGGGAGUCGGAAAUGCCCGAAGUCUGUGACCCAACCUUAGGGAGGGAGCAGCCGAAGGCAGGUCGGAUGACUGGGGUGAAGUCGUAACAAGGUAGC